AUUGAACGCUAGCGGGAUGCCUUACACAUGCAAGUCGAACGGAGUGGCGAACGGGUGAGUAAUGUAUCGGAACGUGCCCAGUAGCGGGGGAUAACUACGCGAAAGCGUAGCUAAUACCGCAUACUAUUGGAGCGGCCGAUAUCCGAUUAGCGAGUGGGUGGGGUAACGGUUCACCAAGGCGACGAUCCGUAGCCGGUUUGAGAGGACGACCAGCCACACUGGAACUGAGAAACGGCCCAGACUCCUACGGGAGGCAGCAGUGGGGAAGUGUGGACAAUGGGUGAAACCCUGAGCCAGCCAUCCCGCGUGUGCGAUGAAGGCCUUCGGGUUGUAAAGCACUUUUAGCAGGGAAGCGGUACCUGCAGAAGAAGCACCGGCUAACUACGUGCCAGCAGCCGCGGUAAUUC
rnacentral:rRNA from 1 species